rnacentral:lncRNA from 1 species
CAGAGAAAUCUGAAAAGCAGCCUUGGUGGGCUGGCUUGGCUAGGUCUGGUGCUGGGUCCUUUGCUCCUUAACUGCCUGGCUGGUGGGACAGGGCUGCCUACUCUCUAAAGUCCAGCCAGGCAGAGACAAAGUUCCCCACCGCUUUCUGCGAGCUCCCAUCAGCUCCUGCUCCCGCCUUCCUCCACAUUCCUGCGCUGAACUUGGCGGAGUCCAGCGGCUGGCGUACCUUCCCUGGGCUCCUCCGCUUCGGAGAGCAUGCUGUCGGGGUGCACAGCCACAGGCGCCACCGCCACGGACAUGGACGUGAGGCUGCGAGGCUCCUAGACGGGCUAGUGAUACGGAUGCUGUGCUAGCCGCGUUUAGAAGGGGUCCUGUUCACAAAGCAAAACUUCACCAGCGCCAGGACCGGCCUCUAAGGAAAGUAGGGCAGGAUAGGCAGGGGGCCCUUAUGCACGGCUGGCUCUCUCUAACCAAGCUGCUAGGAGCUAAAGGCUUCUCAGGCUUUGGGAAAUGCUGACAGGCAGGAGAUAAAAGGGCAAAGGGCAGCCAUCCUGGCCUCCUCUCCCCUCCCCUCCCUUCCCCUCCCCACCUGGCUUCCACCACUGGCUCAGAGGAAGUCAUCUUAACUCUGGGGUGGCUACACCAGCUCCCACCAGCCUACCUGUCUUACAGAGAUUGUAUUUUUUACAGGGCCUUGUUUUAGCAUCAACCCUAGAGUGAGGGGCUCCAAGUAAAAUACCUGAAAGGAAAACAUCCAAUGGAAAGAAAUCUCUGGCUGGAGAGUGUUACAUUCUCCUAUAACUGAGAAAGGACCUUAAGAAAAAAAAAACUCAAAUAUCCAUCUACUUAUCUAUAAAAUGAAGACAAAAGCAGUAUGUGAUUCACAGAUUUGUCUGGUUAUUACAGAUGGCACUAUAAACACAGUGAUUUGAAACUGUAAGUUCUACACACAGGUUGUCACUAACUAUUGCACCUUAUUACAAUAAACUUUGUAAAGGAUACUCUUGCCUUUUCUUUGCCAAUCAGUUUGCCAUCAGUAUCGAAGCUAUUCACCGGCAAGGGGGAUGCCAUAGAUAGAGCUCUAUGGUCUGAUAUUAAAUCAGUCGCUACUGCUGAGUGAUUCUAACAUGCUUGAGACCCUACCAGAAUUUUAUCUCAAAUUUAUUGAAAGGGCAAGGUGAACCAAGACAUAAUAGCCAGAGGGAAGAAAGAAACAUCUGGAAAAGAUCAGUGCUGUAGAGCCUACGGGAACUGAGCAUGGCCGGAAAAGAAUAACCGGCUAUACCCUUCUGAAAAUGACGGUUAACCUUGCUCUCCUGUGCCCUACAUCCUAGUGCUGCUGAGAUAGACAAUCUAUGCUCAGUACUCUUUGUAUUCAUGGCGGACACAAAGGAUGCCGAUGCUUCUGAAACAAAAGAAACGCCCCCUUGCUGUCUGUCUUUGCCUGUCCUUCGGAGCAAUCCUUCUGCCCCUCCCUACCCGACAGCAUCCGGCUUUGCCUUCCCUCUUCCGCUGGCCAGAUGUCCACAGAUGUCCACCUGGGCCUCGGAGGAACCUCGCCACAGCUGUUUGCUACACAAAUGAGAUGCCUUCGGCGGAUCUAGAGCUGGAGUGAAGAAGCAGCACCUUUUGAAUAAAAGUCCUUAAUACCCUGCUUGUUUUUACGUUGGUUCACAAAAAGUGCUUCAGCCCAGCCCAGGUUAGUCAAGGAGAACGUGUGCUGAACGAACAGUUUAAAGGCCAAGACAGCAGCCUGGUAAUCAAUUUAGCAUCCUGUUAACAGCCCUGCAGAUCUUUGAACAUUCACCAGGAUCCUUGAGAAACCUCCAGAGAAACUUUUUUAUUCAAAUGCAGUCCAGCAGUCACCUUGGGGGAGAACUUUCUGAUGUAGAGCCUUCAAGAGCAACAAUGCCCAGGAAAGGAGAGUCUGUCUAUGCGGGGAUCAAAAGUCUGGAUCUAUCUGCGAAGGCCAGACUGGUUUGGGCUGUUGAGGAAUGUCUUUUUGGAACCCUACAUGCUGACCCAGAUUGAUAUGGCAAAGCUGUAGAUAGCAAACAUACCAGGACUGGAGUCCUUCCUAUGCCCAGCCUAAGAGAGACCCCCUCGCACUGGCUGGCUGACCGUAGCUGCAUGCAAUCUGAGCUUAUGCAACUUCCCAGCGCUGAUAGCCGGCGCACAUCUGUGAUUGAUUACUGUGAAGCGUUCAGAAGCCAGGGGCUCUGCCUGGGACCCCCAGUAAUCACCUCCUCUCUCUACCUUGUGUUCACUUCGAGGGGCCACAGAACUACGCCAAGACAGGCUGGAUUUUGGACAAGAACAGAACCUACGAGGUUUUGACCGUGUGCCAGGUGGUCACAGUUUAAGAGACAGAAGAGGCUCGUGGAGAAACUCCGGGAGGGAUGGCCAAGCCGACACUGGACAGACAAACUCAGCAGGCGGUAAAAUGUGAACUGAUGCAGAACUUAUCCAAACAGGGUUCAGGGCAAGAGGACAGGCUCCUUUUCUGCUGUGGCUCAGGAGGUUUUCCACUUGAAUAGGUCAGGUUCGGAAACCGGUUUAUUUGGCCAGUCCCUAGAGAGGGGCUAUAGAGAUAUGUGUCAGUUACCCCUCAGAGGAUGGGGUGCACGUUCUGACAACCCCCCUCACCUGAGCCGUGUACAGAGUACAGAAUGUGAUAUUAAACCCAUGGACUUUGUAGGGAAAAAAAAAGGUAAAAAAAUCAUUAACUUUCUCAAUUUAAACUCUAUUUCCACUGAUUUUUUUUUUUUAACGCUACAUCCUCUUUUGGCCUCUCUCAAAGCCAGACUCAGGCCUCUCCUUUUCAACGAAGCCUACGGAGGCCAGUGGUGAAUUUCUCCAAGCAACUUCUACUAUUGACCUAUAAUACAUGUUGGGUCCUUUGAAGAGGCUAUAUAACCAAUAAAAUAAUCAUUUCAACAUUUAAUUAUACAUGAGCUAUGACAACAUGUAAGAAUAAACUGUAUUUCCUCCACCCAUAAAGUAUAUUAUGGAACCAUCAAAAAAAAA